GUUUUAUUUUCCCAGCAUCCUUUUUAAUGAGGUACAAUUAACACAAUCAGACUAGUUUUAAUACAAAGACCGUCCUAGCUGUUCGUGUUGGACUUCAGACUGUGAGAAAUUGUAAGGGAAACUGAGUUUUCCUUAAAACUGUCACAAAAGCAAUGGUGUCCUAUGCCAGUAAAAAUGAACAAAAGAUGAUUAGCACUGCAAAAGGAUAACACCUCAUGCUGACAAAAUAAUUUAAU